AAAAAGACAAAUCCUGAGUUUCCAUGUCCAAUGUUUGACUGUUCGUCUUAUAUGAAUUUUUUUUAUAAUUAGUACUUUUUAUUGUUAUUAAAUGAUAAAAUAUGAUUAAUACUUUAUGCGUGGCUUGUCUUUUUAAUUUUUUUUAUAUUUUUUUUCAAAUAAGGCGGACGAUCGACAUGAAACCCAAG
rnacentral:pre_miRNA from 1 species